UGGGGAAUUUUGGACAAUGGGCGAAAGCCUGAUCCAGCAAUGCCGCGUGUGUGAAGAAGGCCUUCGGGUUGUAAAGCACUUUUGUCCGGAAAGAAAUCCUUGGCUCUAAUACAGUCGGGGGAUGACGGUACCGGAAGAAUAAGCACCGGCUAACUACGUGCCAGCAGCCGCGGUAAUACGUAGGGUGCAAGCGUUAAUCGGAAUUACUGGGCGUAAAGCGUGCGCAGGCGGUUUGCUAAGACCGAUGUGAAAUCCCCGGGCCCAACCUGGGAACUGCAUUGGUGACUGGCAGGCUAGAGUAUGGCAGAGGGGGGCUAGAAUUCCACGUGUAGCAGUGAAAUGCGUAGAGAUGUGGAGGAAUACCGAUGGCGAAGGCAGCCCCCUGGGCCAAUACUGACGCUCAUGCACGAAAGCGUGGGGAGCAAACAGGAUUAGAUACCCUGGUAUCCACGCCCUAAA
rnacentral:rRNA from 1 species